GUGUCAGCAGCCGCGGUAAUACGUAGGGUGCGAGCGUUAAUCGGAAUUACUGGGCGUAAAGCGUGCGCAGGCGGUUUUGUAAGACAGGCGUGAAAUCCCCGAGCUUAACUUGGGAAUGGCGCUUGUGACUGCAAGGCUAGAGUAUGUCAGAGGGGGGUAGAAUUCCACGUGUAGCAGUGAAAUGCGUAGAGAUGUGGAGGAAUACCGAUGGCGAAGGCAGCCCCCUGGGACGUCACUGACGCUCAUGCACGAAAGCGUGGGGAGCAAACAGGAUUAGAAACCCUCGUAGUCC
rnacentral:rRNA from 1 species